rnacentral:rRNA from 1 species
GAGUAACACGUGGAUAACCUACCUAUAAGACUGGGAUAACUUCGGGAAACCGGAGCUAAUACCGGAUAAUAUUUUGAACCGCAUGGUUCAAAAGUGAAAGACGGUCUUGCUGUCACUUAUAGAUGGAUCCGCGCUGCAUUAGCUAGUUGGUAAGGUAACGGCUUACCAAGGCAACGAUGCAUAGCCGACCUGAGAGGGUGAUCGGCCACACUGGAACUGAGACACGGUCCAGACUCCUACGGGAGGCAGCAGUAGGGAAUCUUCCGCAAUGGGCGAAAGCCUGACGGAGCAACGCCGCGUGAGUGAUGAAGGUCUUCGGAUCGUAAAACUCUGUUAUUAGGGAAGAACAUAUGUGUAAGUAACUGUGCACAUCUUGACGGUACCUAAUCAGAAAGCCACGGCUAACUACGUGCCAGCAGCCGCGGUAAUACGUAGGUGGCAAGCGUUAUCCGGAAUUAUUGGGCGUAAAGCGCGCGUAGGCGGUUUUUUAAGUCUGAUGUGAAAGCCCACGGCUCAACCGUGGAGGGUCAUUGGAAACUGGAAAACUUGAGUGCAGAAGAGGAAAGUGGAAUUCCAGGUGUAGCGGUGAAAUGCGCAGAGAUAUGGAGGAACACCAGUGGCGAAGGCGACUUUCUGGUCUGUAACUGACGCUGAUGUGCGAAAGCGUGGGGAUCAAACAGGAUUAGAUACCCUGGUAGUCCACGCCGUAAACGAUGAGUGCUAAGUGUUAGGGGGUUUCCGCCCCUUAGUGCUGCAGCUAACGCAUUAAGCACUCCGCCUGGGGAGUACGACCGCAAGGUUGAAACUCAAAGGAAUUGACGGGGACCCGCACAAGCGGUGGAGCAUGUGGUUUAAUUCGAAGCAACGCGAAGAACCUUACCAAAUCUUGACAUCCUUUGACAACUCUAGAGAUAGAGCCUUCCCCUUCGGGGGACAAAGUGACAGGUGGUGCAUGGUUGUCGUCAGCUCGUGUCGUGAGAUGUUGGGUUAAGUCCCGCAACGAGCGCAACCCUUAAGCUUAGUUGCCAUCAUUAAGUUGGGCACUCUAAGUUGACUGCCGGUGACAAACCGGAGGAAGGUGGGGAUGACGUCAAAUCAUCAUGCCCCUUAUGAUUUGGGCUACACACGUGCUACAAUGGACAAUACAAAGGGCAGCGAAACCG